GACGAACGCUGGCGGCGUGCUUAACACAUGCAAGUCGAACGGAAAGGCCCUGCUUUUGUGGGGUGCUCGAGUGGCGAACGGGUGAGUAACACGUGAGUAACCUGCCCUUGACUUUGGGAUAACUUCAGGAAACUGGGGCUAAUACCGGAUAGGAGCUCCUGCUGCAUGGUGGGGGUUGGAAAGUUUCGGCGGUUGGGGAUGGACUCGCGGCUUAUCAGCUUGUUGGUGGGGUAGUGGCUUACCAAGGCUUUGACGGGUAGCCGGCCUGAGAGGGUGACCGGCCCCAUUGGGACUGGGAUACGGCCCCGACUCCUACGGGAGGCAGCAGUGGGGAAUAUUGCACAAGGGGCGGCAGCCUGAUGCAGCAACGCCGCGUGCGGGAGGACGGCCUUCGGGUUGGAAACCGCUUUCGCCUGUGACGAAGCGUGAGUGGCGGUAAUGGGUAAAGAAGCACCGGCUAACUACGUGC
rnacentral:rRNA from 1 species